rnacentral:rRNA from 1 species
GAUGAACGCUGGCGGCGUGCCUAAUACAUGCAAGUCGAGCGAACAGAUGAGGAGCUUGCUCCUCUGACGUUAGCGGUGGACGGGUGAGUAACACGUGGAUAACCUACCUAUAAGACUGGGAUAACCUCGGGAAACCGGAGCUAAUACCGGAUAAUAUAUUGAACCGCAUGGUUCAAUAGUGAAAGACGGUUUUGCUGUCACUUAUAGAUGGAUCCGCGCCGCAUUAGCUAGUUGGUAAGGUAACGGCUUACCAAGGCAACGAUGCGUAGCCGACCUGAGAGGGUGAUCGGCCACACUGGAACUGAGACACGGUCCAGACUCCUACGGGAGGCAGCAGUAGGGAAUCUUCCGCAAUGGGCGAAAGCCUGACGGAGCAACGCCGCGUGAGUGAUGAAGGUCUUCGGAUCGUAAAACUCUGUUAUUAGGGAAGAACAAAUGUGUAAGUAACUAUGCACGUCUUGACGGUACCUAAUCAGAAAGCCACGGCUAACUACGUG